AAAGCACUUGUGUACUUAAAUGAAGGCUCUGAGAAACUCAUAAAGGAAUACCUGGAUCCGGACUGAUGCCCAGAGCCAGAUGGAGAAAACCACCAUCGGGAUCUUUUGUAAUCAAACAUGAGGGUGCCAAUGCCUCCACUAGAAGAUGUAGACAUUAUAGUUGAAUCACUAACAAUGUAACGAAACUAAACAUGCUGUGUUUAGCAGAGAUAUUUUUCUGUUCAUUGCAUUUCUAUUUUACUAAUAAAUGUCCCUGAUGGAUUGAUGAGAAUGGAGACAAAGGUUGCUGCUAAAUAAAUGCAGAUUUGUUUUGAA